GAUGAACGCUGGCGGCGUGCCUAAUACAUGCAAGUCGAGCGAACGGACGAGAAGCUUGCUUUUAUGAUGUUAUCGGCGGACGGGAGCGUAACACGUGGUUAACCUAACUAUAAGACUGGGAUAACUUCGGGAAACCGGGUCUAAUACCGGAUAAUAUUUUGAACCGCAUGGUUCAAACGUUGAAGAAGGUCUUGCUGUCAGUAAUAGCUUGAUCCGCGCUGCAUUCACUAGUUGGUAAGGUAACGGAUUAACAACGCAACGAGGGAUACCCGACCCGAGAGCGUCGUCCGACACCCUGGAUGUGAGGCACGGUCCCGACUCCUACGGGAGGCAGCGGUAGGGAAUCUUCCGCGAUGCGCGAGUGCCUGACGGAGCAACGUCGCGUGAGUGAUGAUGGUCUUCGGAUCGUAAAGCGCUGUUAUUAGGGAAGAUGAUAUGUGUAAGUACCUGUGCACAUCUUGACGGUACCGAAUCAGAAAGCUACGGCUAACUACGUG
rnacentral:rRNA from 1 species